UAGGGCCUCUCCCCCCAUCCGGUCUUAAGAGCAACCGGGCCUUCGACUUUGCUCAUGUUAGGGCGAGGUUCUCCUCCUGUUUCUAACAGGGCUGUAGGGGCACAUAAGGGCGUUGUAGGGCCUCUCCCCCCAUCCGAUCUUAAGAGCAACUGGGCCUUCGACUUUGCUCAUGUUAAGACGAGGUUCUCCUCCUAUCCCUAACAGGACUGUGGGGGCACAUAAGGGCAUUGUAGGGCCUCUCCCCCCAUCCGAUCUUAAGAGCAAUCGGGCCUUCGACUUUGCUCAUGUUAGGGCGAGGUUCUCUUCCUGUCCCUAACAGGGCUGUGGGGGCACAUAAGGGCGUUGUAGGGCCUCUCCCCCCAUCCGGUCUAAAAAUAAUCGAACUUUCGACUUUGCCCAUAUUAGGUGUUGUUUUUAUUGUCUGAAGGGGUUAUCCCCUGUCAUUACAAGUCCAUGCCAAAAGGAGAAGAUGUGCAAGUCUGAAAGGAAUCUUGAUUUAAAGCGAAGUCGUUCGCAAUACAUUUACAGAUUUUUCAAAUCUCAG
rnacentral:lncRNA from 1 species